UACGUAGGGUGCGAGCGUUAAUCGGAAUUACUGGGCGUAAAGUGUGCGCAGGCGGCUUCGCAAGUCGAGUGUGAAAUCCCCGAGCUUAACUUGGGAAUUGCGCUCGAAACUACGUGGCUGGAGUGUGGCAGAGGAAGGUGGAAUUCCAGGUGUAGCGGUGAAAUGCGUAGAGAUCUGGAGGAACACCGAUGGCGAAGGCAGCCUUCUGGGCCAACACUGACGCUCAUGCACGAAAGCGUGGGGAGCAAACAGG
rnacentral:rRNA from 1 species